rnacentral:lncRNA from 1 species
GGAUUCCUGUGGAUUUAAUCCUGUAGGAUGAAAACAAUAGUGAAUAUGUCUGUGUGUGGUUCAUGCAUCCUAAUGUAUCAGGCUAUGUCUUAGCACGACAUUAGCAAUAACAGGUUGUGAAGCUAAAAUAAACUUUUCUAAACGAUCAGCCACACUAGAAAAAAGCCUGAAAUCUCUUUCUGUUCCCUCUGUGGACAACAGUGUUUCAAACUUAUUGUGAUAUGAAGAGACAAUCAAAGAGUAUGCAGCCAAAAAAGAAAGAAUAAAGUGUUGUAGAAGUGUGUUAAGACAAUUAAUUAACAUAAGCUAAUGUUAUUUUCUGUAUUUUGUGUUUUUGUGGUGUUUUCCAGCUUUUAAAACUUUGUGAUUUGUUACUAUUUAUUUUCUCCUUCUAUUCACUUUUGUAUUUAAUUUUGUACUUAUAAUUUUGCCUUCAUUUUCUUUAAAAGAGUGAACAUCAUUCAGGCCAAGUAAACCUGCAUCGGCCCCCGUGCAUAGGCUGCAAUGAAGAGAUGGGAACGGCCAGCCUGCCCAGGACAGAGGCUGAGAACUGGGGAAUCACAGCCAGCAGUAAGAUGGCUUUGGCUGCAGAGAGAAUGGAUCGUAGGACCACAGGCUGGAGGAGGCUGGAGGGAGUGUGGCAUCAUGGGCCAUUACAAAAGGUUUCCUAGGAACGCUCUGGUUUUGGACAGCGGGGGAAACCCGUACAUGGUGGGCAGGAGCAUCCUGAUCUGCGACGACAGAGGGACGCCGAGAGGAAUCUGAAUGAACAGGCCUCGCUAAGCGUCCCCCAGUCUACUGCACUUCCCUCAUGCCAUUUGUCCAUGACGUCUCUCUGCGACUGUCCACUCUUCAUCAGACCUAGCAUAAAAACGCUCAGGUUUAACUGCUCUUUCUGG